CAUCCCUCACUCUUGCUCACAGGUGAGCCUUCCCCAGUGAAGCGCUUCACUCCAGCCGUCCUUCGUCCUGCAGCAGUCCUUCCUCCUCCUCUGAAGAGCCCAGCAUCCCGUAGAAUAAAGCCAAUGGCGCUAAUGUAAUGAUAGUGACAUUGUGGCCAUGGGAGCAGGGCAGUGACCAUCCCCUGUGCUGGGGCACCUCCAAUCCCGGGGAUUAAAGAAGUGCAACAGUUUCCAAGGAUUCAAAGGCGUGGUGGGAAAAGAAAAAAAGCUUUUUACCUCAUUGGCAGAGAAUUUAAGAGCAGUCAUUUCAAGUUUUGUUUUGAAUCCUGGAAGCCUCCAGGUGAAAGAACUCAUUUAGGAAAACCCAAACUCAAC